rnacentral:tRNA from 1 species
GCCGGAAUAGCUCAGUUGGUAGAGCAGCGCAUUCGUAACGCGAAGGUCGUAGGUUCGAUUCCUAUUUCCGGCACCA